rnacentral:rRNA from 1 species
UACGUAGGGUGCAAGCGUUAAUCGGAAUUACUGGGCGUAAAGCGUGCGUAGGCGGAUCUUUAAGUCAGGGGUGAAAUCCCAAGGCUCAACCUUGGAACUGCCUUUGAUACUGGGGAUCUCGAGUCCGGAAGAGGUUGGUGGAACUGCGAGUGUAGAGGUGAAAUUCGUAGAUAUUCGCAAGAACACCAGUGGCGAAGGCGGCCAACUGGUCCGGUACUGACGCUGAGGUGCGAAAGCGUGGGGAGCAAACAGG